GCCUACCUAGAUCAAGAUCUCCUCCUUCAAGUCAUUCGGAAGUACCAAGCGAAGCUGACAGAAGACCUGAAUGAUGCUGGCAUCAACGCCUCGAUAACCAAGGUGGAGGCGGGCAAGGUGGAACCGCCAGACAUCGUCACGGACGUGCCGCCAGACCGGACCCCGAUCUGGCCGCUGCCACCCCCGGGUCUCUCGCCUGGCGCCAUCGCCGGCAUCGUAGUUGGUUCGUUAGCGUUACUAGCCGUGUGUGGAGGGUUGGCGGUGUUCCUGAAGACAAAGAUAUGGAAUUCCAGUUCAAGCACUGUAAAACCACUGAAGGUGAAGCAGUGUGAUCUUGACUCUGAUGAAUGUGAUAGUUCUGCUAAAAGAAAUGACGCAGAAACGAAAUUUUGUCAUUAGUAAGAUGAAACCUGGAGUGGAGUUUUGGGUGGCAAGUCUACUGGGGAAGGAAGUGUGACAGUUGACACCCACAAUGGAUCUAAAGAAUAGAAACUUGUGUACGUGCAAAGCUUUCUUCUUGCGAGAUUGCACCCGGUAGAAUUACACCCUGCCUGCGUACUUCUACAUAUAUUUUGGAGCAUCACCCCCCCCCUUGGAGUUGGUGGCGAGGUGUUUUUGUUUGUAAUGCACAGUCUGGAAAAUGCCCAUCCAUGCAUUUUUUUCGCAUAAUAUAGUUCUUUUGGUAGUGAAACAAAAUAUGUUUCACAACUUUUACCCCGUCCAAACAUUAACGUACAUAGCCCUUUGCUAUUUCAUACAAACUUGGUGUUUUCCAAGGUUAACUAAGAUAAUAUAGUACAUUAUGACUGUGCGGAGUUGGCGACAUUUUACAGUACCAACAAGCAAUUUUUCGAGCAGCUAAUUUUGUAACAACAGUUGACUGUCUCUUCCAAUGGAGGCCACGUUCACAACCUUGGAAUUACAUACUUACUCAUCAAAAUGCCUCCAUCAAAGUAGGAAAUUAUUUUGUUUUGAAAUACAUGCAUUUGAAAGAUCACCAUGGAAUAUCACCAUGGAUAGAUAAGUUUCUAAAUGAUUAAUCUGUUCUGUAAAGUUAUACAUGCGCAUGAAUUGUUAAGUAAACAGGUUUGCGGUAGCACCAUGCAAGGAUAUCUCUUUUGCUAGUAUGUGUGGUUCUGAAAAGAACCGGUGCGUACUCAAUAUUUCGGACAGUAUUCUCUGUCCGUCGUAAGGAGACUGCCUGACAUGAUAAAUUAAUUUUAAAAUAUUUACUUUAAUAACAAAGAAAGAGUUAAAACCUAGGUUCAACUGAAAGUAAAUUGGCUAAAUGCGAUUUGUUAAAAGAAAUACAAAGACAAAUUACAGAACAACAUACGUUACAAGUAGCAUAUAUAAAUAUGAAUAAGUGAACUGACGAAAAAGAUAAAAUAAGAAUAAAAAAGGAUUAUGUAUAUAAAUGAACAAGACACAGUAAAAAUAAGGGAAAUGAAAAUCUGAAUUCGCCACUGAACAGGAAACAGAAAAUGCAGCGCAGCAGGUCGAAAAGAUUCAGAGAGAAUAUCAACCGUAAACUGUUACGAGCGUUUCCCAUUAUGCUUGACGUAAUAAUUCAAUGUCACACCUCCAUUUCUGUGUAUAUUUUGAUCUAUCGGUUUUUGAAGAAUAUACAGUUAAUUUUAUUGGAAAUUCUUCUGAACAAUUGACACUUUCUGAAUAAGGUGACGUCACUAGAAUGGUUUAAAAUCGCGGCAUGGAGUUUUUGUUACACAGCCGAACAGCUAGCAAGUGUUCCAUCGCUUCUACGUUAUAUCAAACCUCACUGUUCAACUUUUGACACAAGGUCCCCUAUUUGGUUUUGAAGAUUCUCGUUCAUGUAAAUAUUGUAUAGGAGAUCUUGAAAAUUAAGGUAUUGGCUCUAAGAAAAGAAAAUGCAAAUUGUUUUUCUAAAAUAAUAUUCAUGUUAAGUAGUGUGCUAGUUUUUUAAAUAAUAAUUGCUAGCCCUUUUUUGUGCUUUGUAGUUUUGAAUUUCAUGUCGAUCGUUUAAUCUUCUUGCUGUAGGCCUAUUUCACCUGCAACCGUAAACUCAAUUUUCUGUGAUGAAAAUGUAUAUUAUAAUCCAUGUAGUAGCCACGAGUCACUUGCCUGAACUAGAUGAAAAUAUAACUGGACCACUUUGAUAUGGCAUUGGCACUUUGUAUUUAUAUUCCGUGCGUGUUUUCUGAGUUAAUGGCAUUGUUUUCACAUAAUUAUUAUUAAAGUAUUUUUUGUAAAUAGUAACUUAUUUAGCCAUACGUGUUUGUGAUAAAGACUUUGAAUAUAUUGUUGUAAUAGAAUUACUGCACAUAAAGGCAGGCCAUCGUACGAUAAUACUACAUUUUAACUGAGCCCUAUUACCUCUAAAAAGAUUAAUUAAAAUAAAAAUAAAUACACACCUUUCCGCAGAGGAUUGUUACCAUCUUUGCGUGGAAAGCCCCAAGGUAAACUAAAAUGAGACUGGGUAUGCAUUAACUUAGAGACAAUGUAAAGUACCCUACAUGAGUGUAUUAUGCGUAUGGCUGGAAAUGAAUGAGCGAGGUCGCCCCUGCUCAGAUUGCAGCCGAGCCGCGGGUAGUCUUGGUUCCAAGACUUUACUAUCUGUGUUCAUGUAAUAAUGAACGCUUUCGCGCAGAACAUUUUACCAGUCAACUGAGGGCGCUAUGUGAUGGCCGAUAGUGCAGGAUUGUCGUAAGCGUAGGUAAGGCUGCAUCUGAAUUCGAAUCUCUUGUCUAGAGCUAGGUCUAGGUC
rnacentral:lncRNA from 1 species